GUGUUGUAUGAAAGGAGAGAAGGAUAGCACUCCCCUUUACAAAGACGGAAGAGGCCCUUGGGCCUGACAACACAUGUAGAGUUAAGCCAUAGCCACCUACUUAUGACAUCUAACCAUCAUUUUUU
ensembl:snRNA